GGAGAGGUGUCCGAGUGGUUUAAGGAGCCGGUCUUGAAAACCGGUGAUACCGUGAGGUACCGUGGGUUCGAAUCCCACCCUCUCCGCCA
rnacentral:tRNA from 1 species